UAAAACGAGCUCAAUCUCUCAGCCUUUUUACUGAUUGCUCUUCUCCAAUUAUGGAUGAGAAGAUAUUCGCCAUGCAAAAGUCUACACUGUCACCAAAAAUGCUUGACAGGGUGCAAGUCUUUAGAAGGAAUGACUAGUAAUCUCUCAAUACCAAGGAAGUUUUGUACGAAAGUCUUCAGAAAAAUAACAUGCGAAUGCAAAUAAAAUAUUUCAGCCUUUUCUUUUGAACGUGGAGUGAAUCUGGUGAGG
rnacentral:lncRNA from 1 species